UACGUAGGGGACAAGCGUUGUCCGGAUUUAUUGGGCGUAAAGCGCGUGUAGGCGGCCAGGUAGGUCCGCUGUGAAAACCCGAGGCUCAACCUCGGAGGGUCGGUGGAUACUGGCAGUCUUGAAGGUGGUAGGGGGAGAUGGAAUUACCGGUGUAGCGGUGAAAUGCGUAGAGAUCGGUAGGAACACCAGUGGCGAAGGCGGGUCUCUGGACAGUUCCUGACACUGAGACACGAAGGCCAGGGGAGCAAACGGG
rnacentral:rRNA from 1 species